rnacentral:rRNA from 1 species
GGGGAAUUUUCCGCAAUGGGCGCAUUCCUGACGGAGCAAUACCGCGUGAGGGAGGAAGGCUCUUGGGUCGUAAACCUCUUUUCUCAGGGAAGAACAAAAUGACGGUACCUGAGGAAUCAGCAUCGGCUAACUCCGUGCCAGCAGCCGCGGUAAUACGGAGGAUGCAAGCGUUAUCCGGAAUGAUUGGGCGUAAAGCGUCCGUAGGUGGUUAUGUAAGUCUGUGGUUAAAGCGUGGGGCUCAACCCCAUAACGGCCAUGGAAACUACAAGACUUGAGUGAAGUAGGGGUAGAGGGAAUUCCCAGUGUAGCGGUGAAAUGCGUAGAGAUUGGGAAGAACACCGGUGGCGAAAGCGCUCUACUGGACUUAAACUGACACUGAGGGACGAAAGCUAGGGGAGCGAAAGGGAUUAGAUACCCCUGUAGUCCUAGCCGUAAACGAUGGAUACUAGGUGUUGCCCGUAUCGACCCGGGCAGUGCCGUAGCUAACGCGUUAAGUAUCC